rnacentral:rRNA from 1 species
GAUGAACGCUGGCGGCGUGCUUAACACAUGCAAGUCGAACGUGAAUUAUUUUAUUGAAACUUCGGUCGAUUUAAUUUAAUUCUAGUGGCGGACGGGUGAGUAACGCGUGGGUAACCUGCCUUAUACAGGGGGAUAACAGUCAGAAAUGGCUGCUAAUACCGCAUAAGCGCACAGAGCUGCAUGGCUCAGUGUGAAAAACUCCGGUGGUAUAAGAUGGACCCGCGUUGGAUUAGCUUGUUGGCAGGGUAACGGCCUACCAAGGCGACGAUCCAUAGCCGGCCUGAGAGGGUGAACGGCCACAUUGGGACUGAGACACGGCCCAGACUCCUACGGGAGGCAGCAGUGGGGAAUAUUGCACAAUGGGGGAAACCCUGAUGCAGCGACGCCGCGUGAAGGAAGAAGUAUCUCGGUAUGUAAACUUCUAUCAGCAGGGAAGAUAGUGACGGUACCUGACUAAGAAGCCCCGGCUAACUACGUG